GGACAGCAGCAGCGGCGGCGGCCGCGGGAGGGUCCUUGUGGCGCCGGGCGGCGGGGUCCUGCGUGGAGAGUGGGACGCAACGCCGAGACCGCGAGCAGAGGCUGCGCACAGCCGGAUCCGGCACUCAGCGACCGGACCCAAGGAUCCGCCGGGGAACAAGCCACAGGAGAGCGACUCAGGAACAAGUGUGGGAGAGGAAGCGGCGGCGGCGGCGCCGGGCCCGGGGGUGGUGACAGCAGGUCUGAGGUUGCAUCAUAAAUACAAAGGACUGAAGUUAUAAAAGAGAAAAGAGAAGUUUGCUGCUAAAAUGAAUCUGAGCAAUAUGGAAUAUUUUGUGCCACACACAAAAAGCAUCUGGCACAAUGUUUUUGUUUGGUUUGGUUUGGUGUUGUAAAGAGAGAGGAUCUUGCUAUGUUUGCCAGACUGGUCUCAAACUCCUGGUCUCAAGUCAUCCUCUCACCUUGGCCUCCCAAAGCAUUAGGAUUACAGACAUGAGACAUCACACCCAGCCCCAGCACAAUGUUGAAUGUACUGAAGAUUUACCCCCCAAAAAAAAUUGUCAAUGAGAAAUAAAGCUAACUGAUAUCA
rnacentral:lncRNA from 1 species